rnacentral:rRNA from 1 species
GAUCUUGGGUCGGGGGGAGCGGUCCGCCCCUUCGUGGGUGUGCACUGGUCCCACCCGACCUUGUUUCUGCCGGGGACGCGCUCCUGGCCUUCGCUGGUCGGGACGCGGAGUCGGCGACGUUACUUUGAAAAAAUUAGAGUGUUUCAAGCAGGCUUUAUGCUAUGAAUACAUUAGCAUGGAAUAAUAAUUUAGGACUUCGGUUCUAUUUUGUUGGUUUCUAGGACUGAAGUAAUGAUUGAUAGGGAUAGUUGGGGGUGCUAGUAUUCAGCGGCCAGAGGUGAAAUUCUCGGAUUCGCUGAAGACUAACUUAUGCGAAAGCAUU